GUGGAGAGGAACUGGUGACUCAAUCACCAAAGGCAAAUGAUUCAAUCAACCAAGCUUGUGAAACCUCCAUAAAAACCUCUCAAAAGAGGAUGUUCAGAGAGUUGGAAGGCUGGGGCCUCUGCCUGAGGCUGGGUACCAGCUACACAGGCCUUCUCUGAACCCAAUCUGGUUGAGCCUACAGGCAGAUGCCUGCUCCCUGGGCGAUCAUUUCUAUUAUGCAGGCGUACUGUCCUGGGCUGUUCACUUCCUUGAAUCACAUUCCUAUCCCCUCCCACCUCUCUGAGAGGACACCAGGUCUCCUGGAGGGAGGGCAGUGGGCAUUAUUUCUUUUAACACAAGGCUUCACCUCUGUUUACUGUUCCUGGGGUUCUCAAGGCAAGAAUACUGAAGUGGUUUGCCAUUCCCAUCUCCAGUGGACUACAUUCUGUCAGAUCUCUCCACCAUGACCCGCCCAUCUUGGGUUGCCCUACGGGCAUGGCUUAGUUUCAUUGAGUUAGACAAGGCUGUGGUCCUAGUGUGAUUAGAUUGACUAGUUUUCUGUGAGUAUGGUUUCAGUUUGUUUGCCCUCUGAUACCUUCUUGCAACACCUAAUUGGGUUUCUCUUACCUUGGGCAUGGGGUAUCUCUUCACGGCUGCUCCAGCAAAGCGCAGCCAUUGCUCCUUACCUUGGACGAGGGGUAUAUCCUCAUCACCGCCCUUCCUGACCUUCAACGUGGGACAGCUCCUCUAGGCCCAAGUGAGAAAUAGAUUUAAGGGCCUAGAUCUGAUAGAUGGAGUGCCUGAUGAACUAUGGAAUGAGGUUCGAGACAUUGUACAGGAGAUAGGGAUCAAGACCAUCCCCAUGGAAAAGAAAUGCAAAAAAGCAAAAUGGCUGUCUAGGGAGGCCUUACAAAUAGCUGUGAAAAGAAGAGAAGCGAAAAGCAAAGGAGAAAAGGAAAGAUAUAAACACCUGAAUGCAGAGUUCCAAAGACUAGCAACAAGAGAUAAGAAAGCCUUCUUCAGCGAUCAAUGCAAAGAAAUAGAGAAAAACAACAGAAUGGGAAAGACUAGAGAUCUCUUCAAGAAAAUCAGAGAUACCAAAGGAACAUUUCAUGCAAAGAUGGGCUCGAUAAAGGACAGAGAUGGUAUGGACCUAACAGAAGCAGAAGAUAUUAAGAAGAGAUGGCAAGAAUACACAGAGAUCAGAUCAAAUCAGUCGCUCUGUCGUGUCCGACUCUUUGCGACCCCAUGAAUCGCAGCACGCCAGGCCUCCCUGUCCAUCACCAACUCCCGGAGUUCACCCAGACUCA
ensembl:lncRNA